UACGUAGGUCCCGAGCGUUGUCCGGAUUUAUUGGGCGUAAAGCGAGCGCAGGUGGUUUAUUAAGUCUGGUGUAAAAGGCAGUGGCUCAACCAUUGUAUGCAUUGGAAACUGGUAGACUUGAGUGCAGGAGAGGAGAGUGGAAUUCCAUGUGUAACGGUGAAAUGCGUAGAUAUAUGGAGGAACACCGGUGGCGAAAGCGGCUCUCUGGCCUGUAACAGACACUGAGGCUCGAAAGCGUGGGGAGCAAACAGG
rnacentral:rRNA from 1 species